ACGGAUCUCUUGGUUCUCGCAACGAUGAAGAACGCAGCGAAUUGCGAUAAGUAUUGUGAAUUGCAGAUUUUCGUGAAUCAUCGAAUCUUUGAACGCACAUUGCGCCCUGUGGUAUUCCACAGGGCAUGCCUGUUUGAGCGUCAUUUCUCCUUCAAGCUUCUUAGU
rnacentral:rRNA from 1 species